rnacentral:rRNA from 1 species
CUACGGGAUGCAGCAGUGAGGAAUAUUGGUCAAUGGCCGAGAGGCUGAACCAGCCAUCCCGCGUGCAGAAUGACGGCCCUAUGGGUUGUAAACUGCUUUUCUACGCCAAGAAAUCUGAUUACGUGUAAUUAGUUGACGGUAGCGUAGGAAUAAGCAUCGGCUAACUCCGUGCCAGCAGCCGCGGUAAUACGGAGGAUGCAAGCGUUAUCCGGAUUCAUUGGGUUUAAAGGGUGCGCAGGCGGGCUUGUAAGUCAGUGGUGAAAUACUGCCGCUUAACGGUAGAACUGCCAUUGAUACUGCAAGUCUUGAAUAUGGUUGAGGUAGGCGGAAUGUGUUGUGUAGCGGUGAAAUGCAUAGAUAUGACACAGAACGCCGAUUGCGAAGGCAGCUUACUAAGCCAUUAUUGACGCUGAGGCACGAAAGCGUGGGGAGCGAACAGGAUUAGAUACCCGGGUAGUC